rnacentral:rRNA from 1 species
GACGAACGCUGGCGGCGUGCCUAAUACAUGCAAGUAGAACGCUGAAGAGAGGAGCUUGCUCUUCUUGGAUGAGUUGCGAACGGGUGAGUAACGCGUAGGUAGCCUGCCUUAUAGCGGGGGAUAACUAUUGGAAACGAUAGCUAAUACCGCAUAACAAUGGAUGACACAUGUCAUUUAUUUGAAAGGGUCAAUUGCUCCACUACAAGAUGGACCUGCGUUGUAUUAGCUAGUAGGUGAGGUAACGGCUCACCUAGGCGACGAUACAUAGCCGACCUGAGAGGGUGAUCGGCCACACUGGGACUGAGACACGGCCCAGACUCCUACGGGAGGCAGCAGUAGGGAAUCUUCGGCAAUGGGGGCAACCCUGACCGAGCAACGCCGCGUGAGUGAAGAAGGUUUUCGGAUCGUAAAGCUCUGUUGUAAGUCAAGAACGAGUGUGAGAGUGGAAAGUUCACACUGUGACGGUAGCUUACCAGAAAGGGACGGCUAACUACGUGCCAGCCGCCGCCGUAA